rnacentral:rRNA from 1 species
GAUGAACGCUGGCGGCGUGGUUAAGGCAUGCAAGUCGAACGGUAAGUUUGUAAUUUAUUACGAACUUAUAGUGGCAAACGGGUUAGUAACGCGUAGAUAACCUACCUUCGAGUCUGACAUAAUUCCGCGAAAGCGGGACUAAUUUCAGAUGGUAAUGAGGGGGCGAAAGCCAUUCUCAUUUAAAGAUUUAUUGCUCGAAGAGGGGUCUGCGUCCUAUCAGCUAGUUGGUGAGGUAAUGGCUCACCAAGGCUAUGACGGGUAGGGGGACUGAGAGGUCGGCCCCCAACAUCGGAACUGAGACACUGUCCGGACUCCUACGGGUGGCAG